UCGCCCGUAGCCUAGUGGUAGCGCGCCCUUGCUUCGACCGAGAGGGCGUGGGUUCGAAUCCCCCUCUGCAUA
rnacentral:tRNA from 1 species